AUGCUACAAAACGACAGCACAUAAAAAGAAGAACAUUUUUGGGAUAUUUUCUUAAGGAUAAAUGCCGCCUAUAUUGGCAGAUGUCAGGUCAAACAUGUUGGCCUUCAUCUCUCUUAUUGACCGCCUGGACAAGCAUUUUCUUCUCUGUGCCCCGGAAUCGGUAAAGAGAAUAAUCUUUGUGAGAGGGCUUCCUCAUUUGCCGCCUUGGAUCUUUAAAGAAAGAAUGAUAUAUUCAAUAGAGAAAUGAUGAUUGGAAUUUAAAUCCUUUCAGAAUGGCUGAACGUAUAAAUGAUGAUGAGGACAACCACAGUGAUGUCCAAGGGAGAAUUCCAAGAGUUCUUUUAGUCAUACAGGCAAUAACACUUAUCUUAAACAUAGUCUGGUUAGCCUGUGUAGCCGUUGUGCCAAUUGUUAUCAAGGCAUAUGUUGCCUACAAGCGGCUACAUUAAAAAGACCGAAAGAAGAUUACAUGGAGUCUAAAUCAAAACUUUGAGGAAACAAAUUCUAAAACAAAACACUUGCUUCUUCCAUUUUUUGUCUCAACCUAAAGAAAAUCGCAAAGGAGAUGUGAAAAUACAAGCUUCUUUUGACAAAAUCCUUUACAAUUAUGUGUUUUCAACUUUAGAAUAAUAAAUGUAAUUUUGUUUUGAAUGUGUUGAACUAAAAUAUAAAGUAGGGUAUAUCAAAUUCAACCAAAAAGUAUAUCAAAUAUGAAACUUUGAACCACUGUUUCUCUGAAUGAUCAACCUAGCAUUCAUUUGGAAAUUAUUGGGGAAUGCAUGUUCAUGUAAUUUACCUAUUAUGCAAAUUAUAAAACUAAAUCUGUACUUACUAUUUUUGUUAAUUUUUCAUAUUUUUUUUCAUUGUGUCGAGGUUGCUGAACUUUUGCGGACAUUUUGAUUUACCCAACUGUGUUCAUUUAAAGUAUUUAUGUAAUGAAACAUUAAAAAUAAAAAUUUUAACACAAA